rnacentral:lncRNA from 1 species
GAAGUUGAACGAGAGCAUGCCCCACCCAGUCAUCUAUAUCGAUUUCCUGGUUAACAUGACUAAGGACAUCGAUGCUCACCUCGUCAAGGCUUAAGCCCUACGAAAGAAGAGGAGAAGGAUCUAUGAUGUUUGCUUGUGUUUCGAUUAUCCAAAUAAACAAGCAUAAAUAAAUACGGAGUGAUCGGCAUACUUUGUGCUGAACACUCUGAUCUAUUAUCGAGUCUCUCUCCCUCUCUCUUGAAUUUACCCUCUCUUUUGUUUGUGAUUAUUCGUUACUUUGAUUAAGGGUUUGCCGAUGAUAGAUUAGAUUAAAAAACAAUUAACUAUAAGCAUUUCGACAGUUUAAUUAAUGUUAAGAUAGCAUGAGUUUUUCUAUAUAACUAUAAAAACAAAGUGAAGCUGUUAUUUGACCAGACUCUCCAAACCUUCAAAGGGGUUCAGUCCACAUGUCGAUUAUGCAAUAUCAGCUCAAGAAAUACUUAUCCUAAUGUUGUAAAACUUCCGGGGUCUUAGUUUCUCCAUUAAAGGACGUUGGGAAACCGAUCAAAAUUAACUGAGGAGUACAUUAAAACAAAAUUUGCAUGGUUUAGAUGAUGGAACCUAAGUUGAUGAGGAGAGCAAGAAUUCAUUACGAAACAAACGAUACAAUAUAGAAAUUAAGAUUACUCAANNNNNNNNNNNNNNNNNNNNNNNNNNNNNNNNNNNNNNNNNNNNNNNNNNNNNNNNNNNNNNNNNNNNNNNNNNNNNNNNNNNNNNNNNNNNNNNNNNNNNNNNNNNNNNNNNNNNNNNNNNNNNNNNNNNNNNNNNNNNNNNNNNNNNNNNNNNNNNNNNCAUGCAAAUUAAUAUCAUCCCAAUCAUUAAUAACGUGGAUACCAUUAUUGGACAGUUGUUGAUACCUAAAUUUUGACGACUGCCACAUUUAGUUCUUUAUUACAUAAGAAAAUUAGCAGUUGAUCUGAUUCAACAAAAAUAUAAAUUCACUUGAUUUGCAUGUGCAUUACAUUUAGGAUUCGUACCGCAAUGAUAAAAUUUAGAACUGAUACGUACAUGAGUCACAUGUCAUGCACAUGCACCAAGCUGCUGCAGAAGUCCAAGCCAUGAGUGGAGAUCAAAGUAGGGUCGGUGAAAAGAAAGAAAAAAAAGAAAUAAGGAGCGUCUGCGCUUUAUUCUAUUCAACAUAAAGUACUCAUUGAGAAGAGAAGACGCGGGAUACUCAACACGGAGGGGGACAUACAAAGGUGUGGUGUUUCUGUUUUGCAAGUCACCCGAGAGUCCCUGCUAAACUUUCCAGCCGAGAACCACUCCAUGAGCGAAUCUAAGUGAAGCCACCGUCGACCGCCAUCGCAAUCCCAGUGUCCCUAGAUCUUAAUCCGGAUAUCGUCAUUCAAAUUAGGUAACAAUCUUUACCCAAAUUGAUUUGACUAUUAAAUUGCUAAUUUUGGUGUGAUUUUGUUAUCUAAUUGCCAUAUAUGAGAUUUUAGACAUCAUCCAAUAUUAGGGCAUUAUUAACUAUUGGGAUUCGCCCUAAUGGACACUCUUCCAAUAUGAAAGGGGGAGGUGAGGGGUUCAAAUCCCCAUAUUCUCAGGGGGAUUGGAUGGGGAUGCAUAAGUUUCAGGAAUGGGUUUCGACUCCCACGCCCUGCAAGAGGCAGGGCAAAAGUCUGAGAGUGAAUAGAAUAUGAUUGGCAAAAAAAAAAAAUUAGGGCAUUAUUGAUGAUAGUGAAUUCAAUUAUUAAUUUGAUCCGUAAAUGUUUUGGAUCAUUUUUUAAUUAAUUUGACUUGAUAUUGGAUAAUUAUUAUGCCUAAAAAUUGUGAUAAUCAUUAAUUUAACUUGUUAGAUGAUAUGUUAUUUUUAAAAUUAUCUCAAUAUUUUAAUUUGAAAUUUCGUUGGAUUGCAAGUGUCGAUUAGUUGAUAGUCUAUGUUUAAUUCAGACGACUACCAUAUUCUGAAAAUACCCAAAAGAACAUCAUUUUAGAAUGGAUUAGAUGUCUUUUCGUAGUUCAAAUUGCAUGCUUAAAUUAGGGCAUAUUUAAUUACGAAUUUUAAUAGAAAUACCAAAAAUAUCAUGUGCAUGUCAAAUAGUUUUAAUUGUGUUAUUAUUUACUAUGCCAUGUGAUGUGCAUGUCAUAUAGGUUUUUUUUAGUGGCAUCAUCAUUAUGCCACAUGGUAUGCUAUGUCAUCCAUACAUGCCAUGUCAUCCGUGCCAUGUCAUUGAUUGCAUGUCAUUUAGACAUUGCAUGUUUAGGUUCAUCUAGAAUGCAUGUCAUGUUAGAACACUUGCAUUGAAACUUAGAUUGACAUUACAUAGAUGAAUAAAAUGCCGAAAAAGAGUUAAUUAGAAUUGCAUAAACAAUUAGAGUUAAUGUUUAGGUUAGGCAUGCGCGUUCUUUUGAUAAACACUUGACAAAAAAUUAGGAAUUGAUUACCAUGCUUUGCUUGCUUUAAGGUAUUUUAAUUUCUUCCCUAUUUUUGCAAUUUAUUUGUUGCUUUGAUUAUUGAUUGUUUUUUUAAUGACUGAUCACUCGUAUAAUAAUCUUACAAGUUAGAGGAUAGGUUAAAAAUGCAUUUGAGCUGCUUGCUACAUAAUUUUUUGAUAAGAAGAACCAUACCGAAAAUGCAUUAGAGACAAUUAGUAUAAUUAAUUCCUCGUACUCAUAAUCUCUAGUCACGUAGGAAGUGGGUACACUUAUAUGCCUCAUUUGAUUUUUAAUUAACUUCGAUAGGUUAGUGGCGACUUCUCAUUUAAAUAUUCUCAUAAUGUUAAUCUGACUUAAUCUAGAAUAUUCCAACGUCGUAUGGGAUAUAUGGGCUUGGGAGAGCCCAUGCCUAAUCGAAUGCUGCAUUUCUUUUACAUAACGCAUCGCCACCAUUGUCUCCUUAUUCAAGGGCGCUUGCAAGAUCCACACCCUACAAAUUUAACAUCUCCACACAAGAGGAGGUCGCUACUUCAACUAACCUUCAAUCUGGGUUGCCUAAGGCUGGCGACUUCGAAUGAGAGAGAGAGAGAGAGAGAGAGAGAGAGAGAGAGAGAGAGAGAGAGAGGUGCGAGUAGGGGUGAGUAAGGUGAUGCUUCCGUUUCGUUCUAUUUUUACGUUAUACCAAAGCAAACCGCAUAAAAGCUGUCAGACAAUGUUGCUAGUCGAAUAUUGCUUCGUUCGAGAGUUCAUAAAUAAAGAUACCCCCAAAUUAUCAUUUUCAAUGUAGUUUCAGGAAAAGAAGUUUGAUGUGGCAUGUCAUGAAUUGAAAAAGGAAUACAAAAACUCGGGAAUGACUGUUCGUGUGCUGGAGAAGAAAGAUUCAAUUAAAUGUCUGUAUCAGAUAUAUUCACUCAUAAUAUAUGUUUAUGAACCAACACUUUCUUCCACCAUCUUUUCUUUACGCUACUUGCGGAAGACUUUAGUUUGUUGAGAGAGUACAAGGUUUGAACAAAAAUGAAACGAAACCAAGCAAAACCUAUAGUAAUUUAGAACAAAACUGAAUUAGAUCAUUUUUUACGGUUCGGUUAAGUUCAGUUUUGGAAUCGAACUAAAUCGUUUGUUCUAUCUUAUAGUGUUUUGUCCUCAUCUUUUUUCGGUAAUACUAUGAUCUUAAUUCACUAAAAAUAGUAGAGAGAGAGAGAGAGAGAGAGAGAGAGAGAGAGAGAGAGAGAGAGGACUAAAUUAUUGUAGAAACCAAACUUCAUGCUCAGACCAAUUCAUAAGUUCACAUCUAAACUGCUUCACAUUUAAAAUGAAAUGUUACUUCUCAUGCAAUGGUAAAUAUAGUAAAAUAGUAGGAGGUAGUACAAUACAGUUUUGUUUUACUGUUUUUUUUUUUGGGUGAAAGGUGAGAAUAUAUUGAGCUUUAACCAAAAAAUACAAAAGAUCCGACACCACAACUUGCACUCAACAAGACAACAAGUCAGGGUGAGUGGAAGGGAGCCGAAUGCAAAAGAGGACCGCAAGAGCGGGCCUAAGUAAGCAAGACAGCCACAUAAGGCAAAAGGCAACAGAAGGCCACGAAAGGCCAAGAGAACCACAAACUACGCAUACAUCCAGUAGCGACAAAAGUGAAGAACCGUCAAGGAAGCAGCCGUGUAGAUGAAGAGUAUCCAAACAGCAAACACCGGCCUAGGGCCCUGCAGAAGUAGAAUAGUCCCUAGCUGAAAAAAUGAUUGGAUCAAUACCCCAGCUACGCUAUAGCCUCCGGUUUCUAUAUGUAUCAUCCACAUUCCUGUAGGUGGUGGCCUUGUCUCUGAUGACCUUGAUGAGUUGAUUCUUCACCUCUGGGAUGGAUAAGCUUUGCUCUCGAAAUAGGAUGCUAUUUCUGUGCUUCCAUAUGUAGUAACAAAGAGCACCAAAAGAGAAGCGAGCAAUGCACUUAUAAAAGUCUUUACCCAUAAGGAAAGUGGCGGCCCAAUUGGGGUUCUCGACCCAUGAAUUGUUUCGCCACGGAAGAUUGCACCUGGAGGCCCAAAAGAAGGCGAUGCUAGCGGAGAUGCGGCAGCCAAAAAAUAGGUGGUCUAUAGAAUCCGGUACCUCAUUGCAGAAUGGACACAAGGCACUAUCUAUCCUACCAUAAGAUAAUAAUAGAGCUUGGGUAGGAAGCCUGCGUUUGGCAAUAAGCCAAAGGUUAAAUUGGUACCUUGAAGUGAUGGAGUUGUUCCAAAUGAAUGUGUGCCAGGAGACCUGAGUCUUCCUCCUCCUAAUCAAAUCCCACGCCGAAGCCACCGUAAAGAGAUGGGAGGUAUUUCCCUUCCAGCCGAAACGAUCGGAAGAGUGGGAGAGGGUGGGAAGGGGAUCCGCCCAAGAGUCCAAGACCCUCUUAAUCAUAGCUCCACAAUUAGUGAAUAGGUCCGUCACUAUCGCCUGCCUAGGAAGGCCGAAUGCAUAUAUGGCAGAGUCCGAAAAGUACAAGUUCAAAGGGCCCCUGGGGUGCCAGUUAUCAAACCAGAGGGAUACCGAGCAACCAUUCCCAAUUCUCCAAUAGAAAGAGCUUCGACACUCAGUCCUGAGUUGGAGGAUCUUCUUCCAGGCCCACGAACAGCAGGUUGGCUUUUUGGCCACCCAGAAAUUCGCCCUUCUUAAGAAGGUCGAGUGAAUUCAUUUGCACCAUAAAGAUUCCUUAUCGGCAAACAGAAUCCAUAUAUGUUUUAACAUGGCGGCCUUGUUAUACUCCCGAAGCCUUCGGAUCCCAAGGCCCCCCUCGUCUUUUGGGCAACAAACGUCCUCCCAGGAGACCUUUGCACCCCCUCUUCCCAACUCCGGGCCUUUCCAUAGGAAUUGUCUAAGUAUUCGUUCAAUUUGAUCCAAGAUAGCUGCAGGUAAGAUAAAAAUACUAGCCCAAUAUGCUUGGAUGGCAUGAAGGACUGACCUGAUCAAUUGUAGCCGACCGGCGAAGGAGAGGAAGCGAUGGGUCCAAGAUUGUAUUCUCGCAGUGAUGCGGUUGACUAGCACGCAGCAAUCCGCCUUGCUGAUCCGGGAAGUGAUGAUGGGAACCUCGAGAUAGCGAGCCGGUAGUCUUCCUUCUAGGAAACCAAGGGUAAGAAGGAUUUGGUUUCUUAAAGAAGGUGAACCUCCUGCAAGGUAGACUUCGCUCUUAUUUGUGUUUGAAACCAAUCCAGACCAAUCAGAAAAUAUUUGGAGACCUUCCUUGAAUAGCUUCACCGAAGGCAAGUCGGCUUCACAAAACAAGAAGACGUCAUCCGCAAAGAAUAAGUGUGUAAGGUUAGUCGAUUUGCAUCUCCAGUAAUAUUUGAACUCCGGCCUUGAAGAGCGAGUGGUGAGAAUACCUGAUAGUACCUCCAUGACCAAUGUAAAUAGGUAGGGAGAUAGAGGGUCUCCCUGACGAAGCCCACGACCACUGGCAAAAAACCCAUGUAACUCCCCAUUCAAAGCAAUGGAAAAUUUAGGGGUCCUCACACACGUCAUGAUGAGCCGGGUCAAGUGAUUAGGGAAUCCGAAGGCCUGAAGGACAGUCUCAAUGAAGUCCCAGUCGACUGUGUCAUAGACUUUUCUGAAGUCUACCUUGAUUGCACAUUUAGGUAAGUAAGGUUGGAUGUGAAAGCCAGAAAAGAGUUCCUGAGCCAGUAGGAUAUUAUCUCUGAAUCGCCGGCCUUUAACAAAUGCGCUCUGGGAAGGGCCGAUGACAUUUUGUAGGAUUGCAGCAACUCGAUUAGCCAUGACUUUAGUGAUGCACUUGUAGAUGGUAUUACAACAGGUGAUUGGCCUGUAAUCAUCCACAGUAGUCGCAUUCGGGGUUUUUGGUACAAGGACCAAUAUGGUGUUGUUAAUCUCCUUUAAGAGCCUACCCGAAAUGAAGAACUCCUUCACUGCCGAUAUAACCAACUGACCCACCGUCUCCUAGUUAUGCUUAAAGAAUUCAACUGUGAAACCAUCAGGUCCAGGUGCUUUUCCUCUAGCUAGCGAGAAAACCGUAUCACGGAUCUCUGAGUCAAAAACGGGCCAAUCAAGGAAGCUAACCUGGUCAGAGGUGAGGGGAAACUGGAUAGCCUCCCUGAUAUCCCCAACCGAGGGUCUCCCAUGACUAAGCCGUGGCGACAAAAGAUCCUGGUAGUGUCUAACAAAUGCUGAUGAACAAGCUCCCGGUUCAGUGAUUUGGAAACCCGACGCAUCCAUAACCGAAAGAAUUCUAUUUCUUAUUUGCCUUUUUUUGACAUAAUGAUGAAAGAAUUUGGUGUUGCGGUCUCCCUCCUCUAGCCAUUUAACUCUGGACUUCUGCCUGAAAAAUGAUUCUUCUUUAGAGCGCAAGUCCAAGAAAGUGCACCGCUGAGACUUUUCCAAUUCUGCAAGGGCAACAGAGUACGGGUCUUGCUGAAGGUCAAGUUGAGUAGUCCGGAGCACAGCCCUCGCUUCAGAAGUCCUGAUGGAUAUGUUGGAGUAGGAUUCAUUAUUGAGAUUCUUGAGGCGACCUUUGAGGGCCUUGAGCUUGCACACCAGUCUGAACAUGGGCACUCCCUCAUCCGGCAUCCCCCAAACUUUGUUGACAAUUAGAAUGAAGUCAGGAUGAUCCAUCCAAAAGUCGAAGAAUUUGAAAGGUUUUCUUCGAUGGACUGGAUUUAAAACUUUGACCACCAUAAGGGAGUGGUCAGAUAUACCUGGUGUAAGGAAGGAAGCUUCCGAGAAGGAAAAGACCUGGCACCAUUUGGAAUUGACUAGGACUCUAUCAAUCUUCCUUGCCUUCUGCAAAAUACCAGAAGAGGUAGUCCAUGUAAACCGACAUCCAACAUACCUCAAAUCAUCUAACUCAGCCAUAGAUAAGCACUGUCUAAAAUCAUCAAAGCAUGGUAUCCAUCUAUCUGAUCCCCCAAGUCUAUCAGACGGGUCUUUGAUAGCGUUGAAAUCACCCGCGACUAACCAAGGUGAAUCCUGUAGAGCUGCACUUUUCAUGAUAAGGUUUUCCCAGAGUGGUCUCCUGGAAGUGAAAGUGUGCAGCCCAUAUACGAUCGAUAUAUAACGUGCUAUAUCCGAAGAGAGCAUCUUAAGAUUCCCAUGGAUCACUUAGGCAUCUACUGAAGACACUUCAAAGCUUAUAAUCGACGGAUUCCAUCCAAUCCAAAUCCUCCCUCUGGGAGCACAACUAUAAUUUGAAAUCCAACUUCAAUCCCUUAUCAGACUCGAAGAGAUAGAAGAGAACAUGGCUUCCGGUACUUUCGUCUCCAAAAGGCCAACAAAGCAAAGUCUAUUUGAGGAAACCAAACUACGAACCUCAGCUUGUCUAGAAGGGUCCAUUAGACCCCUAAUAUUCCAGAUACCUAUGUACAUAGCAAUAUAUAUAAGAUGAGGGGCCAGAAAUGGUUACCUUGGCUUCGGAGGUUUCCGGCGAGCGGAAGCCGAAACCAUAGGAGUCGUGGCAGGAGGAGGAUCAUGAAGUAGAGUUAGCAGCUUGUCCUGCAUCGUCACCACUCUUUUGGAGGCAGCCCUCGAGGACGUAUCCACCUCCAACAAAUCCUCAUCUUCAUAGCUAGACGAGACAUCCGAUUCGACACCUCUAACUUGCUGUUCGAAGGGCCUGGAGUUAGUUGGUUCGGGGCUAGACAGGGGUAGGACCACCUUCAAAGGAGUGGUCAUUCCCUUUGACGGCUUGUGUGAGGAUACGGGAGGCUCAGGUUUACCCGAAGCUGAGGUCUUCGCAGCACAUUGGAUGCCCUCAUUACCGGAGCUAUUAUGGUGGGACGUGGAACCUUCCUUAGGGGGGGGGCAGCCUUCUUCUUCUUCUUCUUCCCUUUUACCUGAUUCCAGUCUUGGUGAGGCACAACCUCCACUUCGGCUUCAACCGGUGAUUGAAGGACCUGCUCUAUCUCAUGCUGCUGCUCUUCGGGAUCCACCACCGGGACAGGUACAUGAGACUGGACAGGGGGUGUCGGGUCAGGGGCAUGAGACGGUCCAGCCCCCGUCGAUGGAGGAGCAUUCUGGCUCCUUUGCACAGGUCUACCUGGUCUGGUAUUUGGUGGUGGGGCAUCGCAAUUGUGACCGAAGCAGCCACAUCUUCCGCACUCCAUCGGCUUCCACUCAUACACAAUGGCUAUCGAGCGAACCACUCCUUCCAAUACCACGUCUACAGAAUUACUCCUUGGCUGACCCGCAUGGAGCUCCACACACACCCUUGCGAAGGAGAUCAUCUUCCUCUGCUCCGUUCGCUCAUCCACAUAAAGUGGUUUCCCCACGACAAUUGCUAUAGCACUAAUAGAAUGUGCCGACCAAAGUUCAAAGGGGAGGUUCUUCAAUCUAAUCUAGACGGAGAUGGAUUCUUGUUUUUCCUUUUUUAGCUCCAUAAGGGGCUUCCAUUGCUUCAAGAUAAGGGGCACCCUUGCAACCGUAAGGGGGCCAUCUUCUAGGAUUUUCCUUCGGAAGGUCGGGUCCGGGAUAUGGAAGUAGUAAAAUUCUUGGUCAUCCGCCAAAACUUCAACAAGUUUGGGGCCCCAAGUAAACUUCAAUGAAUUUUCCGUGAGCUUAUAGGGUAGCGUUCUCCCUACAUAGUAGCCAACGAGGUACUAGUUCCACACAGGGUCCGAAGCCUCCAUAGCCUCUUCCGAGAGACGGACGAUGGGCUUGUUGUCCACAAAAGUAGGUGGGAUAUAGGAUAGAUCGUAUCCUUUUGCAGCAAGGCGAGCCACACUCGCCCAUGAGCGAGCCGGAGUUGUUUUUGGAUUACUUGAUUGCUGAACAGGCGGCUGUGGUCUCUUGGAAGAGGACCGGCCACGCUGUGACCUCUCGAUUGGCCCGAGCGGGUUGAGGAGAUCAACCACCCUUUCUGCUUGACAUCCGAACCAGCGUGGGUUACUGUGCUAGGAAUUUCCUGAUCUGGAAGCCCCUGGGAUGAGCUACCAUGAACACGAGAGGUGGGGCUUCAUCCCCUUGAAGUGCCAGCAGGUUGCUGGGAUUCUCGGCCAGGGCCAAUCACACCAGAAGAAACAGCAGCCAUUUCCACAAACACCUGGUGUGCAAUACAAAUCCUACCAACGAAAAGCCAUUGGAUGAAGGAGACUUACCAGGUCCAAGCUUCAAUGGCACAAUGUGGGAUAGCAGGAGGAAAGAACCCAACGCAGCAAUCACCUUGCAAGACACUUCAACCACAACAGACUCUCGAAAUCACAGCAGUAGAGAUCAAGAGGCUGAAAUGGCGAGACCUGGACUUCCAGACCAUCUGCUGGGAAAUGGUUCAGUGGGGAAGGUAAGGGAAGCAAAGUGACCUCAGCCUCCAAAAUGAGCUCAAGCCGACCACCGUAACCACCACAUCCACCAAAACCCGUCGGAUGAGCAGGAACCGAGGGAACAGAAACAGCGAGAUCUGAACUUUAGGCCACCUGCUGCAAAAACGGUUCGGUGGGGAUGAAGAGGGAUGCAAGGAGAUCUCACCCUCCAAGUUUGAGCUCAAUACGACCACAGGAACUCUCUUAGCAGCCGAAACACCAGUUCGCAGCUCGGAACUCGCGCACACACCUAAGGAAGGGGAGAUCUCGAGUUGCAGGACGACCCACUGGAAUUCCUUUGGUGGAGAUCAAGAGGAAGGUCGGAGGGACCUGUCCUCCAAAUUUGAGCCCAAACCGACCGCUAGAACUCCGGGAAUGAUCGAGAGAGUGUUCUAGUUUUGUUUUACUGUUCGUUUCCAAGAAAAAAGAAAAAAAAGAAAAAAGAAAAAAAAAAGGGAUCUAAACAAACUUUGAUUUGGUUCAGUUUCUGAUUUGAACCGUUUUUUGAUGAACGGUUUGGUUCGGUUUUGGGGAAAUGUCCUUAGGAGAAUGCAAAUAUUUUUGAGGUAAAGGGGUUUUCCGAAAUGUUGGAUUGUUUAGUAAACUAUAAUUGAAAAGUGUUUAGGGAAAUGCAAGAUUGUUUGGUAAACAUAUAUUUGAAAAGCCCUUUAACGUGACCAAAUUAAGUUUUUUAGUUUUAAUAUUUUUAAAAUUGCAAAAAGAAAGAAAAGACAUGACUAUAUAACCUUUUAUAUUUUCAUGUUGAGAGUAAUGUAAAAGAUGAUAUUCGUAAAUUUAUUUAAAAAUUAUAGUAAAGAAUUUGAUUAUAAACUCGAUGCAAAGCUCAACUUUUUGGCCUAGAGUUCUUUUAGGUUUGUUUUCAACUCUGCAUAAUUUUUUUAAAUUAUUGUAGUAUUCAUCAUCUUUGUUAAUUAAUGAUCAUUCUAGUGUAUUGAUAAAAAGUUGGGCUAUAGAUCGUCAAGAGAUAAAAAUGACAAAAAAAGAAGAAGGAAGGUGAACCUAACAUUUGCAAAGGGUUUUUAUUAUUUUUUUAAAAAAUAAAAAUAAAAUCAGAUGAAACUUUGUCGCCUAUCAACGGCGGUUGGGGUAUGGGGAAGAUGAUUAGUUUAAAAAAGAAGAAGAAGAAGUCAACAGAUGAAUAGUAGAUGUGAACUUGUAUUUCCGAAAUGUUGAAAGCCCAAAGCAGGUCCCCACCUGCUUUGGGCUUUCAACAUUUCAAAUGCCAACAUUUGGCCAAGGACAUCUCCAAAUGCUGAACCAAACAUUUAAAUUUUUUCCCAAGGGGCUUUCAAGGCUGAAAGCCCUUUGGAAUGCUGAAUCAAACGGGGUAUGGACUAGGAGGAAUGAGGGGAAGUUGGUUAAAGAAGGAGAGACUAAAGUUAAAUGCUCCCUCUCAAAUUAAAUUCAAUAAAAUAUACGUUCUAAUACUGAUUUUAGAGGAUCAUAAUCCUUCCUUAGGAGAUCACAUCAUGUUCAUGCAUUACGAUGUAAGCCCAUUUCGGUAAAAAAAAAAAAAAUCACAAGAGAAAAUUAGCCUUUAUUUUUGUAACAUCUGGCGGUCUAGUUUAAUUCCAUUGAUCAUUUGGUCUCGCACGAGAUUUGAGAGACCGAUAGUUCUCUUCUUGUUGAGCUUUACAUAAAUGUGCGAAUCAAUGUAGCUGUCGGUCAAAUCGAUAUGGCAAUUCGAUUGAAGGAACUUUGAGUUUGCCUUAUAUCAACCCUUCCUCGGGAGAUGAAUGAUGUUCAUUCUUUUUUUUUUCUUUUUUUUUCCCCUUGGGCAAUGACGGGUAGUUCAUCAACUUUCGCUGUUUGUUCGAUGUCAUUCCUGAUUUUUUUUUCAUUAUCCUUGAACUUAUAUAAUUCAGUUCAGGGUAAUUUUUCUAUAAAGUUCAUGACUCAUUUUUUUCUUUUCCGAAAUUCAAUACAUGUACUUUAUUUAUUUGCACAAUUUACUCUCUCUCUCUCUCUCUCUCUCUCUCUCUCUCUCUCUCUCUCUCUCUCUCUCUCUCUCUCUCUCUCUCUCUCUCUCUCUCACUUUUGUUUUUCCGGAAUUCAAUCCGUGUACUUUAUUUAUUUGCACAAUUCUCUCUCUCUCUCUACGUGUGCACGUGGUAGACCUUGCCUGAGGUUAUACUCAUUGGCAAAUCAUGUUCUUGUGUCACAGUUGUGACAUGCCAAAUUUAAGUUUACCCUCUAAAUGAAAAGCUUAUUUGUUUCACAAUAUUAUAACUCAUUUUGAAUCUUGUAUAUACAAAGCGUUUAGUUAUAUGCUUACAUUUUCAUAUUCUUUGGGCCAAAAAGCAAAUAUAUCAAUCAGCAAAUAUAUACUAAAGUUUUGAGGUCUUGCAAUUGAUUUAGUUUGUUGAAAUCCAACUAGUUAGUGCGAUUUUUUCCAUUUCCCUAAGAAAGAAAGAAAUGUUAUUGUUAGAAUAGUUAAAUUUUAAAUAACACCUUCUUGUAAUAACUUAAAUUUUUUAAACAAUAGGCAAUAGUUCCCCAAAAUUUCAUAUGAUACUACAACAAGAGAUCUUACAAAAUCUUAUAUAAUAUUAGAGUAGAAGGUCUUCGUUCAAAUUUUUGUAGGCCUUUAUUUGUAUUUCCAAUUACGUAUUUUCAUGCUUUAAAUUUAGACCAAGAUCCUAUGCAUGAGGUUGAACGUUGGAAUAUUUAAAUAUUAAACCAUACCUUCAUUUACAACUUGAUAUCCAUUUUAUAUCCACGUCGUGGAACCUAUAGAUGAGUUCUAGAUAAGGCUCACAAUUUUUUAUUUUCUUUUGAAUAAUUCAACAAUGAGUCAGUUGAAGCAACUGUGCCCAGAUUAAAUCAUCCAAAUGAUUCUAACGCGCAACUGCAUCAUAUUAGGUUAGCUUUAAAGUGACUGCUGUUGAUUUUGCAAUACUUAAUAAUAACAUAAAUAGUAACAUUGACCCAUGCUAUUCAUUAGACACGUGCUAAGAAAGGGGUUGAGAGUAAUGUUGGAGAUGACACCGACAUGUGUGGAGGGAAAAGAAAUUGGGGGUAUGGCUAUGGCUAGAUCUACCCCAUUUCAAGUAUUCAUUAAAAGAUUGUCAUGGAGCCAAUGAAAAUAAACCAGUAAAAGACUUGCCCGCCAUGUCAUAUUCACACCUCACAAACCCACUCUUCUUCUCAGCCACUUCCCUCUCCUUUGAUCGUCUCCUUCCUUGGUUCGUCGUCGUCCGUGGCAGAGGUUGGUCGCUAUUGAUGAUGGAGAAGCCCAAGAUAACGUAAGAAGAGCUCUCCAACUAAGUAAGCACAUUGUAAAACCAAGAGCUAAAAAUACUACAAAUAGGUCUCCCCAUUUAAUAAGAAACACAAACCCAAUAAAUUUAAUAGAACGUUGGUCAAAUCACCACUAAUAUUUACUUCUAACGAGAAUGAAGAAGGCAAAUAACUAAUUCUCCUAAUCACAUCAAACAAAGAAAUUAUGCUCAACAUAUAUAAGAUCUUAUGUACUUACUUAGUGAUUAGUACAUUGUGAAAUAAAGCUACUUGCUUUUGUUGUUCAUCUUCCCCACCGGUAGAAUGAAUGAUUCUAUAUGAAGCAAACCCAUUUUACGUGAUUCAUGAAAUUUCCAUGCAUAACUCCAACCACUUUAUAUCAAUGGACCCACAUUUUGUCGAGACAAAAUGAAAGAAAUUUGUUAGUGGGCCCACAAGAGACCUGUGUCGCGCGGUGAGUGGAUUAGUAGUUUGUUAAAUUGACAUAUCUUUUGUAUUUAAAAUUUUCUUCUAAGUACUGCCUGCAUUCCUCAAUUUGACUGGGCAAAAUAAAUGGGAGAUCCAACAAAAGCAAACCCUUCAAGGCUUUCAAUAGUUGGUCAAAUCACUACUAAUAUUUACUACUAACAAGAAUGAAGAAGGCGAAUAACCAAUUCUCCUAAUCACAUUAAACAAAGAAAUUAUGCUCAAUAUAUAUAAGAUCUUAUGUACUUACUUAGUGAUUAGUAAAUUGUGAAAUAAAGCUACUUGCUUUUGUUGUUCAUCUUCCCCACCGAUAGAAUGAAUGAUUCUAUAUGAAGCAAACCCAUUACACGUGAUUCACGAAAAUUCCUAUGCACAACUCCAACCACUUUAUAUCAAUGGACUCAAUUUGUCGAGACAAAAGGAGAGAAAUUUAACAGUGGGCCCACAAGAGACAUGUGUCGCACGGUGAGUGGAUUAGUAGUUUGUUAAAUUGACACAUCUUUUGUAUUUAAAAUUUUCUCCUAAGUACUGCCUGCAUUCCUCAAUUUGAUUGGGCAAAAUAAAUGGGAGAUCCAACGAAAGCAAACCCUUCAAGGCUUUCAAUAAUUGGUCAAAUCACUACCAAUAUUUACUACUAACGAGAAUGAAGAAGGCGAAUAACAAAUUCUCCUAAUCACAUCAACCAAAGAAAUUAUGCUCAACAUAUAUAAGAUCUUAUGUACUUACUUAGUGAUUAGUACAUUAUGAAAUAAAGCUACUUGCUUUUGUUGUUCAUCUUCCCCACCGAUAGAAUGAAUGAUUCUAUAUGAAGCAAACCCAUUACACGUGAUUCACGAAGUUCCUAUGCACAACUCCAAUCACUUUAUAUCAAUGGACCCACAUUUUGUCCAGACAAAAAGAGAGAAAUUCGACAGUGGGCCCACAAGAGACAUGUGUCGCACGGUGAGUGGAUUAGUAGUUUGUUAAAUUGACACAUCUUUUGUAUUUAAAAUUUUCUCCUAAGUACUGCCUGCAUUCUUCAAUUUGAUUGGGCAAAAUAAAUGGGAGAUCCAACGAAAGCAAACCCUUUAAGGCUUUCAAUAAUUGGUCAAAUCACCACUAAUAUUUACUACUAACGAGAAUGAAGAAGGCGAAUAACCAAUUCUCCUAAUCACAUCAAACAAAGAAAUUAUGCUCAACAUUUAUAAGAUCUUAUGUACUUACUUAGUGAUUAGUAUAUUGUGAAAUAAAGCUACUUGCUUUUGUUGUUCAUCUUCCCCACCGAUAGUAUGAAUGAUUCUAUAUGAAGCAAACCCGUUACAUGUGAUUCACGAAGUUCCUAUACACAACUCCAACCACUUUAUAUCAAUGGACCCACAAUUUGUCGAGACAAAAUGAGAGAAAUUUGAUAGUGGGCCCACAAGAGACAUGUGUCGCACAGUGAGUGGAUUAGUAGUUUGUUAAAUUGACACAUCUUUUUGUAUUUAAAAUUUUUCCUAAGUACUGCCUGCAUUCCUCAAUUUGAAUGGGCAAAAUAAAUGGGAGAUCCAACGAAAGCAAACUCUUCAAGGCUUUCAAUAGUUGGUCAAAUCACUACUAAUAUUUACUACUAAUGAGAAUGAAGAAGGCGAAUAACAAAUUCUCCUAAUCACAUCAAACAAAGAAAUUAUGCUCAACAUAUAUAAGAUGUUAUGUACUUACUUAAUGAUUAGUACAUUGUGAAAUAAAGCUACUUGCUUUUGUUGUUCAUCUUCCCCACUGAUAGAAUGAAUGAUUCUAUAUGAAGCAAACCCAUUACACAUGAUUCACGAAGUUCCUAUGCACAACUCCAACCACUUUAUUUCAACGGACCCAUAUUUUGUCGAGACAAAAGGAGAGAAAUUUGAUAGUGGGCCCACAAGACAUGUGUUGCGCGGUGAGUGAAUUAGUAGUUUGUUAAAUUGACACAUCUUUUGUAUUUAAAAUUUUCUCCUAAGUACUGCAUGCAUUCCUCAAUUUGAUUGGGUAAAAUAAAUGGGAGAUCCAACGAAAGCAAACCCUUCAAGGCUUUCAAUACUACCGAAUACUCAAGAAAGAUCUUGAGUGAGAGGUAAAGCUAGUUAGGGUUAUUGAGUAAAAGAACAGAGAAGAUGACUCUAGCGGGGACACUGAAGACCGAGUUGGAGCUCAAGUCACCAGCUGACAAGUACUUCAAAGGUAUCAGCAGCAAACUCCAACACGCCCCGAACGCUUCCUCCGAAAAGGUUCACGCCAUCGAAGUACAUGAAGGUGAUUGGGAAGCUCCUGGAUCGGUCAAGCUCUGGACUUACACAAUCAGUAAGCAGUCAUCAGGAGAGAGCAUUCUUAAUUAUUUUGGAAUACCUUUCAAUUUGUUUUUCCUUUUGUCGCGUAAAAAAGUGUGUCGAUGAGAAGGAGGAGGUAUUCAAGGAGAAGAUCGAGGUUGACGAGGCAAAGAAGUCGGCGACGUUUGUUGCCGUGGCUGGACACUUGCUGGAGAAGUACAAGAGCUACAAGGUCACCCUCCACAUUGUCCCGAAGGGCGAGGCCUCGGUGGCGAAGAUCACCCUUGACUUUGAGAAGCACCAUGAGAGCCAUGAAGACCCAAAGGACUACAUGGAGUUUGUGAUCGGCCUCGCUAAGGACAUCGAUGAGCACCUUGCCGGUCAGGCUGAUUGAGUUAAAAGGGGAUAAUCCACCUUCUCUGAUUAUGUUGUAAGUAAAAUAUUGCAAACUGAAUUUUCUUACCUUUCACCAAAAAAAAUAUUGCAAACUGAGCUUCCAAUUGUGAGACAAUGAACAAGUGAUGCAUAUCCAUUUGCAACAUUUCGACCGCCUAAUUACUGUUAAGAUAGCAUGAGUUUGUCUAAAUUGCCAUAGAAAUUCCAGUGAAGCUGCUAUUUGACCAGUCUCAUCAUACUUUCGGAUGGGUUCAGUCCACAUGUUUUGUCGAUCAUGCAAUAUGAACUCAAAAAGUACUUAUUUUUAUGUUGUAGAAAUUUAUGGUUCUUAGAUUCUCCACUAUGAAGUCAGGAAUCCGAUCGAAACCAAAUGAGUAAUUUAAACACAUGAUUUGGGUAGUUCAAAUGGUGGGAAGUAAAUCUUAGAGAGAAGCGAGAUUCAUUAUGUGACAAGCGGUAUGAUAUUGAUACCAACUUGAUUAAAUCACCGAAAAGCACUUUUAUAUUUCCAAAGGCGUGGUUAUAUCCAAGAAUCUCACUAAUAAGUCUUACAAGAAUUCUUACUAAGUGAAAUGUUAAUGCUACCAUUUAUUGUAGGAUGUAUCUUUAGCUAUGCAAAUGCCGUAACCAAAAUGAGUUUUCAAAAUCAAACAAAAUAUCGUUUAAUCACUUUUGUUUUACUCAAAAGAUUUAUUUGAAACUUUAGAUUCAAAUCUUGAAAUCUCAUUUUGGUUACGGCAUUUGCAUAGCUAAUGAUAAAUCCUACAAUCAAUGGUCACACAGUUUUGUUGCUCAUCACACAAUGUCCUGUACGGUGUACAAAUUAUGCUGCAGAGUGCUUACGCUUCUAGAAUAAGAUGUUACAACUUAAUUGCAAAUGACAACCAAAGUCAAAAGCUUAUAAUUUAUUUCUUCAUAUUCGAUUGGUCACUCCGCUACUCUUCCUAUUUCUCUUAUGAUAUUCAACACAUUGUUGGAUGUACGUUGCCAAAUUGCCACUAAGCCUGAUCACCACAACACCCCACAACUCUAUCUGUCUAUCGCUCUCUCUUCGUUGCCCCUGUCAAAGAGGGGUUCAGCAGCGUCAAGGAUGAUGACGGUAUGCUUAAAAGUCAAGAGGUGGUUGCCGCAGGGCAAAGACUUGAGUAAGGAGAAGAGAGAAGAAUGAGGCCAUUGGAGAAGAUGUGGCCAUUGUGGCUGGCGGCAUGGGUGCAGAAGGCAAACUAGGGGAAGAGGACGCCUGACGGGGGUCAUCGCUGUCCUUGGGCCGUAGCUCAUGUUGGCAUUGCCAGAGGCGGCGGCAGCAUGGGAGGGGCCAGUUGGUGAGGCGUCCCCAGCUCUCGCUGUGAUUUUACAAGUUCUUUCCCAUGUACGUCUUGAAUACGUAGGGUAUAGAUACUUACCAAUCCUACCUAUAUUCUCAUGAUGAGGAAAAAGUCAUAGAUAUGAGAUACCAAAUGCCAUUCUCCCAUAUCUUGAAUCGUUGAAAUGUACAAAAAGUCGCAACCCUUGAGCAGAGUGUAUAAAUUGGCUUGUUGCCCACGUUUCGAUCCUUUCGGCCGAAUACUUGGAGACGUGGCUGCUAGAGUCCCGACCGAUGGGACCAGACUUUUAUAUUGCUCUCCUGGUAGACUCUUCGUUUUGCUUUCCUUCCGGAUCGCGCAGGGCUUUUGGCUUUUGGCUUUUGGAACCGGCCAUCCUCACUUCAUGGCUUUAAAGGAGCCACGUCGAUGGGCUUAUUUAUUACCAUUAUUGGAUUCUUCAAAGCUGAUGCUGUCGAUUAUUAUUUAUCAAGUUAAUUUCCAGCGCAGAAACUUCAACAGCAGGACAGACAGCGAAACAAGGGGGUGCAUGACAACAUUUCUAUUUCUAUUUCUGGACGAAUUCUGAGGAAAAAAAUCCGUUUGAUAACUCGUCGAUGGAUGAGGAGAGGGCAUGCGGCUGAGGUCGCGGGGCGAUGGCGGCUUUGGUGAGAUGGAGCAGAGCAGGAGCGGCUUGGGGUGUCGGUGCUCGGAUCUGUUGUAGAGGGCUUCGGCUUCGCAGGGAACAAGCGGCAGGGGUGCAGAGAAGAGGCGGAGGGCGUCGGUGCUCAGAUCUGUUGAGGGCUUCUGGCUUCGCAGGGGAACGAGCGGCGGGGUGCAGAGAAGAGGCGGAGGGCGUUGGUGCUCGGAUCUGUUGCAGAGGGCUUCGGCUUCGCAGGGGAACGAGCGGCGGGGGUGUAGAGAAGAGGCGGAGGGCGUCGGUGCUCGGAUCUGUUGAGGGCUUCUGGCUUCGCAGGGGAACGAGCGGCGGGGGUGCAGAGAAGAGGCGGAGGGCGUCGGUGCUCAGAUCUGUUGCAGAGGGCUUCGGCUUCGCAGGGGAACGAGCGGCGGGGGUGCAGAGAAGAGGCGGAGGGCGUCGGUGCUCGGAUCUGUUGAGGGCUUCUGGCUUCACAGGGGAACGAGCGGUGGGGGUGCAGAGAAGAGGUGGAGGGCGUCGGUGCAGAGGCGGAGGAGAGGCGGAGGGCGUCGGUGCAGAGGCGGAGGGCGUCGGUGCAGAGGCGGAGGGCGUCGGUGCAGAGGCGGAGGAGAGGCGGAGGAGGAGGAGGAGGUAGAGAAGAGGCGGAGGAGGAGGCAGAGAAGAGGCGUACGAGGGAGAAGAGUGAAAUUAGGUUAGGAGAAAUCAGAAAUUGAUUUCUGAAGAAAUCAGAAAUAGAAAAUAUCUAUUUCUGAUUUCUCCUCAAUUUCUAUUUCUGGAAUAGAAAUCUAUUCCAGAAAUAGAAAAUUUGAUAAGGGUUAUCAAACAAGUUUCUGUUCCAGAAAUUGGUCUGGAACAGAAAAAUCAUUUCUAGAACAGAAAUAAUUUUUAUCAUGCACCCCCCAAGUGUUCGUGUUCAUGUUCGUGGUUCCAAGUCGCUGAUGCAUCAACAUUUCAUUUUCAUUCAAUGAAACAUAACCUUUGAGAGAAAUACAUUCCAAGUACCCAAACUUGGCACGAAAUAUUUAAGUGCUAAAAGUUAGGAAAAUGGCAUUUAAAUGCUACUUCCGGUGAACCUCGUUGGAAAUCUUAGGUGGUAAUUUUUUAUUAUUUUUCCUGUUAACGUGGCUCGCCGGAAAGCUGACUCAACAAAAAACUGCAAAAAUAACUUUGUUUUGGCAUGUAUUUGAGUUUUAAUAUAAAAAUAAAUUAAAUUAAAUUACAAAAAAUUAAUUAAUUAUAAAUAAAUAAAUAAAUAAAUAAGAAAGAAAAUGGAAGAAAGCGGUCGAGAGUUGAGCCCUCAACCACCGCCACCUCCCCGCCGCCGUCGGGAAGGGUCGGCAAUGGUGGGGGGGGGUCAGCCAAGGUCGCCGGCCACCCCUUGGCUUUUUCUUUUUAAAUGUUUUAAAUAAAUUUUUAAAUUUAAUUUAAUUAAUUUUUAUAUUAAUUUUUACCACCUUAGCACCAAAACAACGUCGUUUCCACAUUAUCUAGCCAUGUCAGUGUGUAAAAUGACGCCGUUUUGUACUUAUUUCGCUAGAAAAUUGCCACGUUAGCAUUUUGGCUGUAUUGACACUUUGAUCUAUUUUGCUUCGAUUUUGACACUUAAGUAUUACUUUUUAACUUUUGAUACUUAAGUGUCCAUCCGUGCUAAGUUUUGGCACUUGUGCUAUUUAUUAUCGUAACCUUCAGACUAGUCCUUUUAGUCAACUGUAUACCGAGAGCUUGCAUAGUAUGCCUUUUGAGUGGUAGAUAGAUACACAUACAUCUGGAUGUACAUGUAAUGAUAUGAUAUAUUAUAUUCUUUAUGCACGUCAUAACUUCUCUGACCGUGAUCUCCAGAUGAGUCAGUGAUCAAUCAGUCCCCGAUAGAAAUAAUUUGCGUGUGAAUAAAAGUACUUCAGCAGCGGAAAGAAAUGAAGUACCCGAAACUUGUAAUGUCAAUCGACUCUGCAUUUCUUUGUCGGCAAGGCCUCCCCAAAUUUAAAAGAAUCCCAAGAAAGACGAACACUUUAAGUAAUAUCCAUGUUAGAAAGAUAGGCACCUCUUUUCACCAAAUCCCAACAUCUCUCUCUCUCUCUCUCUCUCUCUCUUUCAGCUCUCCCUUCUUCCAAAGCUUUGACGACGACGACACCACUACUGCAGCCACCGACAGUGAUGAGAACAACCUCUGCGUCAUCACAUCGUAAGUGACAAACUAAAAAUACAACAAAUUGGUCUCACCUAUAUAAUGUGACGAGGCAGAGGUUGUCCUCAACAAGAUGCUACUCAAUACACAUACCGAUAUUACUAAUGGGAAUGAAGAGGCGAAUAACUAGUUUUUCUUGUGACAUCAGACAAAACAAUUCGUGCUUAACUAAUAUAAAAUCUUACGUACUUAUGUAGUGAUUAGUAGAUACUGAAAUGAAAGUACGUAGUAUAGUGUUGACACCUAAAUUUUAGCGGUCCGAUCAUUUAUUUAUUGCAUAGAAAAUUAGGGGUUAAUUUUAUCCUAAAAAAAUAUUAAUUGCAUAACAUAUAGAUUUAUGUGCAUUUAUUUUUAAUUUGCAUUUGUUGCAUUUAUUUAUUGGACCGGUGGCGGAUGAGUUUGAAUUAAGGGUUCUAAGCUUUAAAUGGACAAGUUAGACUAAGCUCACGAAUAGAGCAAAUUGGCCCAAGCUCGUUUUAUGGGCUCAUCUUUACGAGAUUUCAAAUUUGAAAAAAUCCUAAGAGAUGUGGAAAAUAAAAAAUGAUAUUGCGUGUGAAAAAGAAAUCUUCGCCAAUAUUGAUUUGAAAAGGAAAUUAAAACCCUACUUUUUGGCCUAUAAAAAGGCUACUCGUGUAGGGUUUUGUGGGGCCACGCACAAUAGAAUACACGGCCAUUGAUAGAGUCACGAGAGAGAAUAGGGAGGAAUCGUAAAGGGCUUCAACCGAGACAAACCUAUGGUGCCAGGGGGGGAGGAAUCGUAGUAAAGGGCUUCAACCGAGACAAACCUGCGGCGUGGCGAGAGGGAUGGUGCCAGGGGGGAACAUGAAGAAGCACGCCCACACCUCCCAAAUCAUAGCUGCAGGACCUUGCUUCCACGUUGCUUCAGUCUGUUUGACAUUCGAUCAUCAGUCUCGGUUCUAAAAUUGCUGCAGCGCCACCUGCAGCGAUUUCUCAGCCCAAUAAAGAACCCAGCAAUCCGGCGCACUCCAGUUCAGCACCGGCGUCAUCUCCAAUCUGCUGCAACUGCGGUUUAGCCACCGAUUGUUGUGCAUGAUCUCCUCCAUCACCGAAAAACCGACUUAUCCAAGUUGAGGGUUGAAGGCCGCGAGUCCAAGAGUCAAAGGAAGCCACAGCCGUGAGUCCAUUAGAAAAUUCCAAGAGAUAAAAGACAACCGCAAGGAACGUGGAGAGUGGAGACUUCACUUGGGGCAAGCAACCCGACAUCCACGAAUAGAGAAGAAGACCAUUCUCGGUGAUCCUCGAGACGUCGAUCUUUGCCUCAAGUCACGAGCAGCUUCCCCGGUGCUAUCGUAGCAGUGAUCUUGCAGUCUUGCCACUGCAGCCGCAAGCCUAUUUCCAACCAUACAAGAAGGAACAAGUUCUCGGGACUCCUACACUUGCUUGUGGCCGUCCAAAUUCUCUCUGAUGCCGAGCAAGCACUGGCGUUAAUCUAUAUAUUUGCUCUUGAUCUCAACAAGUAGUAACUCUUGCUGUACAUUCCAGUGUUUUGUUCUCGGCAGGUCCUCCUUGUGUUGCAAGGGUUUUUGCUGAAUUUUCAAAGAUGAACACUGAUCCAGUGCCUAGGUUUGCGAGUCUUGUUGCGUUCUCUAUCAAGUUUCUGUUUUGCUAGUUCUCCCCACCACACACGGCCACCAUUGGAGGAGAACCAUUAUACAGAGGAGACGAGAGUGGAAAAAGUGAUAUGGGUCCACCGGUCAACAAGUCAACAGAAGGAGAGAGGAGGUUGUCUUCUUCGAGCAUCCCUCGACGUCACCGCAGCUCCUUCACCGAUGACGUUACUGCAGCCCCACUGCUGACUUCGUAGCUGCUGUCCUCCGCCCAUGGCUACCCAUCCCCGCAUCUAGUCGAGCACUACCACGCACCGCCCUCACCCGUUGAGCGGAUUCUGUUCGGUUCAAAUUUGGUAGCAUUAUUUGCGAAAUUAGGUAAUUAUUUUAUCUAAAUUUGGUUUGGAUAUUUUAUUGCCUAAUAUAUGCUUUUCAAUAUCUUACGUGCAUAUUUGAAUAAUAAACCUAUUUCCGGUUAGGAUUUAUUGCCUAAUGCGCAACUGCGCACGGAUUUUUUUAUUCCAUAUAUAAGGCUUUAGAUGGAGAUUUUAAUCACGUGUGAAUACAAUUAAUAUCUUGAUCUUUAAGGCUUAAGAUCAAUUUAUCAAUUUUAUUAGCGAAAUAAUCAAGUUUGAUUAGAUAUCGUUUCCAAAUUUGAACAAUGGAUAAUAUCUUUGAUGACCGUGGAUGAUUUGGUGCUUAUCUUUUAACUGCUUUAUUUAUCCCGAAAAUACAAAAAAAAAUUGCAUUUACAUUUCAUGUAGGUUAGAAUUGAUUGCAUGAUAGGUUAGUUAGAUUUUUUUUUAAAUACAUGUUUAGAAGGUAUUUAGAAUAGAUAACAUUUCCUUUAGUUUUCACUUUAGUUAGAUCUUUAUUUUUAGUGAUUUUAAUUACGAAUUUUCAUAAAAAAAUAAACAAAAAAUGUCUUAGAGUAAAUUAGUUUCAAUCUCUAGGAUAUAUUGCAUUCUUUUAAGAAAAAAAAAUGUCAUGUGCAUGUCUUAGGAUUAGAUUCAUGAAAUGAAUGCCAUUUAGUGAUUGUUGCUAGGUCCAUUUAAUUAAAAAUUGCAUGUAAUUAGAAUUAGGUCAUUUAGUUAAUGUUGCAUUGCAUAUUGUAUAAUUUUCAUUAAUCAAGUGAAAAAAAAAGGAAUUGCGUGUUAAUUAGAAUUCAUAUUUAGGGUUGUUGAUAUUGAUUCUAAUUUAACAUUACAGAUGCUUUCGUUGCUUUGAGGUAAGUUUUGCAAUUUAUUCAUUAUUAAUCUGGGUGUUAAAUUGGUGGAUUGCACACCCGCAUAAUCGCCUCACAUAUUAGGGAAAUAGAUUUAAAAUCAAUCCAAAUUGCCUGCAAAAACAUUUUUGAAAACAAAAAGAAAUUGUUUCAAAAGGGCAUUAGAGAAGUCUAGUGUAACCAAGUCCCUGUACCCAAAGUCUCUGGUUCGUAGGAGUAAAAUAACUCUCCAAUUAUUUUACUUAGGUGUCUAAUUGACUUAUACUAAACUGAUUAGUGGCGACUCCUAAAUAAAAUCUAUAUGUAUGUUAAGAAAUUUGAACUUAAGUCGCGAAUUAGUAUGGGCUUGGGAGAGUCCGAGUUAAGUCUAGACUUAACAAUCCAUUAGCCAAACCCUAGGUGGUUCACCCGAAAAUUUGGUCGUGACACAUGAGCUACUUGCUUUGCUAUUCACCUCCUCCAUUAGGAUAAUGAGUGGAUUCUCAAUGAAGCAAAUCCGAACCACGUGAUUCACGGUUCAUUUUUUAUGAAUUUAAUGGAGCGGGGCCAUCUUAAUUGAUACAAUCGAUAAUGCAAAGAUGUCGCUGGGGAAUUAGUAACAUCUUGGGGCUAACGAUGAAGUCCUUUCUUUUUUCUAUAUAAAGAGGGCACAAACUAGCUAUUGGCAUCCACCAGGUCCAUUCCAAGUUUGGAAAGUUAGAUAUCGUGCUCUUAUUUUGUUGGUCACAUAUUCUCUCAGAAGAGAAGACAAUGGCAGUGAGAGGGAAGAUGGAGGUGGAGGUGGAUCUCAAGUCAUCGGCCGAUCAGUUCUACGGCUUCUUCAGGAACACCCCACACCACUUCCUACUGCUGCACUGAUCUGCACGCUGGGAGAUUCAUGAAGGCGAAUGGCACACUGAGGGCUCCAUUAGGAAGUGGACUUAUUCAGUUGGUAAGCAUCCUCUUUUGUGCUGGAGAGGUUCCGUUUUAGUUUGGCCUAGAUUAAUCAUGCACCGAAUCAAUUGCAAUAUGACAAGCCCAUGUUUCGUUUCAUUCUCAUUAUAGUCAUUCCAUUCCACUGCAUCGAAAUGCAUGAACAUAGAGCUGAAUCUGUCCUGCGCUGUGUAUGGAGCUAGCACUUGAGAUUAUCUACAUGCCAUAUACUUAGUCCGCCACCAAUUAAAGUGAUCAUGGAACACGAGAAGAGACGCAGGAAGAUAUACAAGUUCUCUUUGAUUGGUCCAAUGAUUAAUGCAUUUCGAUGAAACAUGGAGACUUGGAUGUAUAUAACCUCAGGAAUAUAUAUAAGAAAGGAAGAAGAAUCAUCCUUCAAUAGUUCGUUCGUUCCAAUUUUCAUGUGGGAGUGUGGAACUUGUGCAGAAGGGAAGAAGGAGACAUUCAAGCAGAAGAUACAGUUUGACGAUAAGAACAAGAUCGCAACCCACGUCGGCAUCGAAGGCGAGGUGUUCAACUAUUACAAGAGCUACACGGCCAUCUGGCAGGCCGUCCUUAUGGACGGAGGACCCGACGUCGUUAAGGUGAUCAUCGGGUAUGAGAAGUUGAACGAGAGCAUGCCCCACCCAGUCAUCUAUAUCGAUUUCCUGGUUAACAUGACUAAGGACAUCGAUGCUCACCUCGUCAAGGCUUAAGCCCUACGAAAGAAGAGGAGAAGGAUGUAUGAUGUCUGCUUGUGUGUCGAUUAUCCAAAUAAACAAGCAUAAAUAAAUACGGAGUGAUCGGCAUACUUAGUGCUGAACUCUCUAAUCUAUUGUCGUGUCUCUCCCUCUCUCUUGAAUUUACCCUCUCUUUUGUUUGUGAUUAUUCAUUACUUUGAUUAAGGGUUUGCCCAUGAUAGAUUAGAUUCAAAAAACAAUAACUAUAAGCAUUUCGACAGUUUAAUUAAUGUUAAGAUAGCAUGAGUUUUUCUAUAUAACUAUAAAAACAAAGUGAAGCUGUUAUUUGACUGGACUCUCCAAACCUUCAAAUGGGUUCAGUCCACAUGUCGAUUAUGCAAUAUCAGCUCAAACAGUACUUAUCCUAAUGUUGUAAAACUUCCGGGGUCUUAGUUUCUCCAUUAAAAGACGUUGGGAAACCGAUCAAAAUUAACUGAGGAAUACAUUAAAACAAAAUCCGCGUGGUUUAGAUGAUGGAACCUAAGUUGAUGAGGAGAGCAAGAAUUCAUUACGAAACAAAUGAUAUAAUAUAGAAAUUAAGAUUACUCAAUUGAAUCGAUUAAAAACACUCUUUUAUGUUUCCAAAGGCAUUAUACCCAACAUCUGACAAAUAAGCCAGUACAAGAAGUCCUACUUAGAUGUCAUUGUUAUUUAGUGAGAAAAUCUUAGGAAUCCUCCCUUAUGAAUUAAGUUAUUGCAUGGUCAACAAAUCAUGCAAAUUAAUAUCAUCCAAAUCAUUAAUUAUGUGGGUACCAUUAUUAGACAGUUGUUGAUACCUAAAUUUUGACUGUCACAUUUAGUUCUUUAUUACAUAAAAUAAUUAGGGGUUGAUCCGAUUCUUGAACAAAAAUAUAAAUUCACUUGAUUUGCAUGUGCAUUACGUUUAGGAUCCGUACUGCAACGAUGAAAUUUAGAACUGAUACGUACAUGAGUCACAUGUCAUGCACAUGCACAUGCACAUGCACCAGCUGCAGAAGUCCAAGCCGUGGGUGGAGAUCAAAGUAGAGUCGGUGAAAAGAAAAAAUAAAAAGAAAUAAGGAGCCUCUGCGCUUUAUCCUAUUCAACAUAAAGUACUCACUGAGAGGAGAAGACCCGGGAUACUCAACACGGAGGGGGGACAUACAAAGGUGUGGUGUUUCUGUUUUGCAGGUCACCCGAGAGUCCCUGCUGAACUUUCCAGCCGAGAACCACUCCAUGGGCGAAUCUUAGUGAAGCCACCGUCGACCGCCAUCGCAAUCCCAGCGUCCCUAUAUCUUAAUCUGGAUAUCGUCGUUCAAAUUAGGUAACGAUCUUUACCCAAAUUGAUUUGAAUAUUAAAUUGCUAAUUUCUGUGUGAUUUCAUUAUUGAAUUGCGAUAUAUGAAAUUUUUGGCAUCAUCCAAUUAGGGCAUUAUUGAUGAUAGUGAAUUUAAUUACUAAUUUGAUCCGUAAAGGUUUUGGAUCACUUUUUAAUUACUUUGACUUGAUAUUGGAUAAUUAUUGUGCCUAAAUAUUGUGAUAAUCUUUAAUUUAACCUGUUAGAUGAUAUGUUAUUUUUCAAAUUAUCUCAAUCUUUUAAUUUGAAAUUUCGUUGGAUUGCAAGUGUCGAUUAGUUGAUAAUCUAUGUUUAAUUUAGACGACUGCCAUAUUAUGAAAAUACCAAAAAGAACAUCAUCUUAGAAUGGAUUAGAUUUCUUCUCUUAGUUCAAAUUGCAUACUUGAAUUAGGGCAUAUUUAAUUACAAAUUUUAAUAGAAAUACCAAAAAUAUCACGUGCGUGUCAUAUAGUUUUAAUUGUGUUAUUAUUUACUAUGCCGUGUUAUGUGCAUGUCAUAUAGUUUUUUUAGUUGCAUCAUCAUUAUGCCACGUCGUAUACUACGUCAUCCAUACAUGCCAUGUCAUCCGUGCCAUGUCAUUGACUGCAUGUCAUUUAGACAUUGCAUGUUUAGGUUAAUCUAGAAUGCAUGUCAUGUUAGAACACUUGCAUUAAAACUUAGAUUGACAUUACAUAAAUGAAUAACACUUUCUUGUAAUAACUUAAAUUUUUUAAAUAAUAAGCAACAGUUUCACAAAAUUUCAUAUGAUACCACAAUAAGAGAUCUUACAAAAUCUUAUAUAAUAUCAUAGUAGGUGGUCUUGGUUCAAAUUUUUGUAAGCCUUUAUUUGUAUUUCCAAUUAUGUAUUUUCACGCUUUAAAUUUAGACCAAGAUCCUAUGCAUGAGGGUGAACGUUGGAAUAUUUAAAUAUUAAAUCGUACCAUUAUUUGCAAUAUGAUAUCCAUUUUAUAUCCACGUCGUGGGACCCAUAGAUGAGUUCUAGAUAAGGUUCACAAUUUUUUAUUUUCUUUUGACUAACUCAACAACGAGUCGAUUGAAGCAACCGUGCCCCCAUUAAAUAACCCAAAAUUCUAACGCGCAACUGCAUCAUAUUAGGUUAGCUUUAAAGUGACUGCUGUUGAUGCUGCAAUACUUAAUAAUAACAUAAAUAGUAACAUUGACCCAUGCUAUUCAUUUGAUACGUGCUAAGAAAGGGGUUGAGAGUAAUGCUGGAGAUGACACCGACAUAUGUGGAGGGAAAAGAAAGUGGGGUAUGGCUAUGGCUAGAUCUACCCAUUUCGACUAUUCAUUAAAAGAUCGUCACGUAGCCAAUGAAAAUAAACUAGUAAAAGACCCGCCCGCCGUAUCAUAAUCACACCUCACAAACCCACUCUUCUUCUCAGCCACUUGCCUCUCCUUUGAUCGUCUCCUUCCUUGGCUCGUCGUCGUCCGUGGCGGAGCUUGGUCACUAUUGAUGAUGGAGAAGUCCUAGAUAACGUAAGAAGAGCUCUCCAACUAAGUAAGCACAUUGUAAAGCUAUGAGCUAAAAAUACUACAAAUAGGUCUCGCCUAUUUAAUAAGAAACACAAACCCAAUAAAUUCACGGAAUGUUGGUCAAAUCACCACUGAUAUUUACUAUUAACGAGAAUGAAGAAGGCGAAUAACCAAUUCUCCUAAUCACAUCAAACAAAGCAAUUGUGUUCAACAUAUAUAAGAUCUUACGUACUUACAUAGUGAUUAGUACAUUGUGAAAUAAAGUUACUUGCUUUUGUUGUUCAUCUUCCCCACCAAUAGAAUGAAUGAUUCUAUAUGAAGCAAACCCAUUACACGUGAUUCACGAAGUUCCUAUACACAACUCCAACCACUUUAUUUGUUUUAUAAUAUUAAAAAAGGUGUAAUUUUAUGUUUACUUGUUGGAAAUGUGCCUAAAUUUUUCUGAAAAUGUGUUAACAGCAGAGCAAGUCUGCUAGCCAAAUCCUGCUACAAUGCAAUCGCAAUGUUGUCAUAGAAGCACUCAUUUGGGCUUCCAAUCAAGGAACCGACACCUCGGCCAAGACCGGAAGGAAGGCUAUCUUCGAAUGAUGUUACUGACAUUUGUGUUUGGAUGGUUCUGUUCCCUCGUAGAGGAAGCCCAAUGAAACGCAAGCUCAAAAGCUCGAGUCCUAAUGAUAAUCCAUAUGAAAAAUUAAUGGAAUGCUAUAUUGGCCUCAAAUCUCUAUUUCAUGUGGUAGCUGCAAAUAAUGAUUAAUGUGAGACCGUAGCAAGAGAGAAAGAGAGCAGAAAAUUUGGAAAAAUGGGUACUGUUGGAUUUUCUUCAAAUUGACAAUUAGAGGUUGAUACGUGCUUCCUACAUCAAGUUUUUUUGUAGGUUGAACCAAACAUGUAUUUUAGUGAGAUUUAUCCUUAAUCUCUUGUGAAGUGCCUGUGUAUUACCAAGAAUUGUGUUCUUGAUAUUGUUGUUGCCUUUAUCUCUGGCAUCAUUAGCUAGGCAAAAACUUUGUUUACCCAAUUUUAUUGAUAGUGAUGAUUUUGGGUGGACUUCGGUCCCCCUUUUUUUUAUCUCCUCACAUCGGGGAGGUUUUCGAAGUAAAGUUGCUGGUGUUUGUGGGUGCUUGGUGUUUACUUUAUUGUAUGGUUUCCUAUUAUGCUGUAUACAAAGGGAGAUUAUUUUGUUUUGCAGUGCUAAUAUGAUUUUAUUCGGGUUGUCAUUAUUCUCCCAAUAAUUUGAACUCCAUUUCUACGAUCUAAAUAUGAUCAUUCUAUUUAUUUUAGGUUUAUAUUAUAAGCAAUUUGUAUUAAAAAAAUUCAAUAUACAAAUCUUAUAAGUCUUUGUACAAAGGAUGAUCACUUCCUGGUAUGGUUUGGUCCGGUUCUGGUCCUGUCCAAUGAAACCAAUCACAUAAAAGUGCUUGUUGUUCUAAAACUUCAUUCUGUCCUCUGCAUUUAGCAAAUGAAAUAUCUACCAAACUUGGUUUUUUAGCAAACAAAUGAUGUGAAACCCUAACCAAUAUGUGGAAAGAGUUGAUCAUAUUACGUUGAGCAAAAUCAUCAAGAUCCUUGUAAUCUCGGCAAUUAAAAGAAGAAAACAUCGAUGGUGGAACCAGCUUGAAUUGAACAUGAUAUUAACUAAAGAUAAAGUCGAUAGCUUGUCCUAUUGAAAAAGCAUUAACUCCAACAAUGCUUCCACACAGCAAGCAAAGGGGUUUAGCAAAAAUCACCUCUUUAUACCAGACCAAAUGAAACAAUACAGAGACACUACAGAAAAAUUCUAAUGUCUGUCUCAUCAUUUAUAAGUAUAAAAGAAGCUAUGUAACCAUCUUGUCAACUAAAGAACAAAACAACAUCUCUCAAUUAUCAACGCGCACAUUCGGAGAGCCUACAGAGAUAGAAGCCUCCAUCUAACAUGACAAAAAUACUAGUUUUCAUCCACGUUUCUAUGUUUUUUUUUUUUUUAAGCCUACGGAGAUGAAGGCUCCAUUUUUUUUUAAAGAAAUAAUCCGGUUCCUCUCGGGAACCAGACCGCCCGGACAUUAAUUCCACUUUUAGGAAUCAGACCGAAUCUAGUUCGAGCAGUCUCCAAUUCAAUCGGUUGGUUUUACUCACCCCUACUUUGUACCGCUUUAUAAUUUUACAUUCAUUAAUGAGUGUCCCCAUGCUACUUGUUAGAAAAAGCUAUUUUUUUUUUAAAGUGCUACAGUUUUAAGCGUACUAAUUGUUUUUGAAAAUUAUAAUAAGUAUAUCGAAAAUAGAAAACUUUGAAAAGUGUGACCUUUUACAAAGCAUUUCCAACGAAGGCCAUAAAAGCACUCGUUAAUAAGAUUAUUCUAAUUUUUGUUAAAAAAAAAGAGAUUAUUCUAAUUUAAACAUCCAUUUAAAAUAUGCGAUUUCGUAAGGUUUCCUAUCUUAACUCAACUGCUAAACCUCAUGAAUCACGAUUUCUGCGUCUACAUCGUCAAUCAACUUUUGGACGCACUACCUACAUGGGAUUUAAUGUUUACUGCCUUUAUCGGUCAAUCUAAUUUGACAAUAUGAAUGAGACAUCCAACGAAACCAAACCCUUCAAGGGCUUCCAAAGCAACCGGGUAUCCAAGAAAAAUAUUAAGUGAGAGCUAACGGUAGCUAGGGUUUUUGAGUGAAAGAACAAAUGGUGGAUCACACAUGGAUUCCUUCAGAUCUAACGAUCCAAAAUCAUUUUAAUACAUGCUCAGAUUUCAUUCCAAACAAACCAAAAUAUCGUACUUCAUAGGAAUUCACAUUCUAAAAACUAAGAUACUUGGCUCAAAUACGUUGCAAACUACAACUUAUAAGCGUACGUGCCAAUACAAAUUUUGUCAGUGAUGGCUGAUUAUAAAUUGAUAUGUGAAGAUUCGUGGUGGACAUUGAGCGCUCCAUCUCUUGCUAUAACUUAUUGUUGCUUUUGAAGAUUUGAUCAGGAACAAAGUUAUACAGUCCUUGUUAACAAACUUUUCUUUUUUAAUUUCAAUUUUUUUUUCAAUAAUUUCAAAAGUUCAAAAUGUUAGAAAACACAGCCCAACAACACAUAUAAACGAAUCUUUUUAAACUCCUCCUCAAAUGUAAUCCAGUCCUUACACGGGCAUAUAGGUAGAGAUAUAUGAGAUGUGUUGCUCAAAGGGACACUUAAGUAUCAUAACUUACGAAAAGGGUACACUUAAGUACCAAAAUCGGAGUUUAAUGGAUCAUUUGAUCGAUAAUCUGGCUCAAAGUCCGGCCAAAAGGCUUACAUGGCAUUUUUUUGACGAAGCGAGCCAAAAAUGACGUUGUUUUGCACGCUGACGUGGCCAAAUAAUGCAACAACGGCGUCGUUUUGACUGACGUGGUAAAAAAAUAAAUAAAUAAAAUUAAAUUUAGUUAAAAUAUUAAAAAAUAAUAAUUUUAAAAUCAAUUAAUUUAAGAACCACUCCAGCCAAAUUCCGGCCAAAAUUCUGACGUUGCAUUUUUCCUGCGAAUUUCUUACUACAUCAGCCCAAAACGAUGCCGUUUUUGCAUUAUUUGGCCACGUUAGCGUGCAAAACGGCGUCGUUUUGGGCUCACUUAGUCAGAAAUUCGCCGGAAAAAUGCAACGUCAGCCUUUUGGCCGGAAUUUGGCUGGAGUGGCACUUAAGUGAUUCGUUUUUCUUCGAAUUUGGCACUUAAGUGUACCUUUCGUAAGUUAUGGCACUUAAGUAUCCAUUUGUGCAAAGUUAUGGCACUUGAAGUGUUCUUUUGCCGAUAUAUGAAAGAGACUGAAUGUUAGGAUUUGAAUCGUUGACCCACACUCCGAUAUCAUCUUAACAAACUAUUUUCCGGUAAGAGAUAUAUGGACAGACUGAAUGUUAGGUUUUGAACCGGUAACUCGUAUUCCAAUACCAUCUUUAACAAACUAUUUUCCCUCAAAGUCUAAAUUAUUAGAAACCGAGCCAAACAAUGUAUGGUGUAUAGCCCAUUACUUAACAUUCCCACAUAAAUCGGCUUGACUUUUCGUCAUGUUAUAUUAGACUAUAUAAGGAACCAUCUCCAAUCAAACGUGAACUGCAUCAAACACUUCGCUUCGAAGAUUUGCGGCAGAUCCUCUUCCAUAAUGGAUAAGUCAUUGUAUAGUUAGGCUUAGUUGAUGCUUUGAAUUUCGUUUUCUGUUUUCUGUCUCCCAAUCCAAGAUAGAUAUUACUUACAAGAUCUUUUUUCUUUAUCAGUUGAAAGGUCAUGCGUCCGAAAAUCAACAAUAUAAGGGAUAGAAGUAGACGUAACCAACCAAACUACCCAAUAAAUAUGCUGGGCAACGUGAUCGUGUGAGAUCUCUAUCACUAAAAAGAAAGAACAAAGUGUUGACACCCGAAAUUACCUCCGUUGUAUGUGCUGGCCACAAUGAGAAUAAUAAGAGUGAUACACCCCAUUUUGUUCAUGAAAGUUGAGGGCAUCUAGUGUUUAUGAGGAUAUUUGAGCUAAAUGUCAACGGGAUUCUAGACAUAUAUUCUGGAGUCGACGACAAGGUAAUUAAUUGUCAUGUGUCAAGCUAUGAGAGGAACGCAUUAGACUUAGAGUUUAAGUGGAAUUAGCAUUAGAGCUUAGGCAAGAAUAGCUGCUGUACAAAAUGCACAUAAAAAUAGGGAAGCCAUUAUUCACUUGAUGGGUAAGUCGUGCGAGUGUCAUCAACAAGUCAAGAAAUAGUUGUUUAUGGAUGAGAUUGCCAAGAAGAAAAGGAAAACAUGGGGAACGCUAAGAGUGGUGCCCAAGGAAAGUAACCGGCUGAUGGCUACUAGUUCAUCCUAUACCAUAACUUGUUCAACAAAGAGGCCCUACCCAAGCAAUACAACAACUAUCUUUACUUUAUUUACUUUAUCACACUAUUAGCUGUAGUUUUUAAGAUUCCCAUCGUCGAUUAAAUUCCGACAUGUGCCUUUAUCCGGUUUAGUAUAGUCGAUUAAAUUCCAAUAUUAUUCCACAAGCUUAGUGUUGUCGAUUAAUUUCUAGCAUUAUGUCUCCUAUCCAAGGGUAUCGUUAUCGAUUGAAUUCCAAUUAUACAUCUAAAACAAGCUAUCUUGUAGAUUAAAUUCCGAUACAGUUUGAACUUGAAGUAUAGGCUAUUUAGCUACUUGUGUUCAUAUUACAUCGUUAAUUAAAUUCUGGUGUAAUUUGUCCCCAUAAGUUAUUAGUUUUUGAGUCAUCAGAGUAUCAAUUGUCAAAGUUGUAUAUACAAGUUGAGAAUAAAAUUUAUCCUUGCAUUUGAUAUUCUCUUUCCAGAUUCAAUAUAGAACCCGAGUCUCUUAUAAUAAAAUCAAAACGCAUUGUUUGGUGAAAGAUUUUUUGCAGGAAACAAAACUGGCGAAACAUCUUUUUGGCACGCUUGGUGGGACUAUUGUGUUGAGUUGAGAGAACACUAUGCCAUGGAUCUGAAGCUGAAUUAACUUGAAUAGUGCCAUUGACGAUCAAAUAUUGAUGGUUGAGAAUAAUGCACGAGUUGAGUCAUCAUCAGUCCAACUUCCUCAGAAUGAAACCACAAAUUAAGUCCACUAGGAAUGAGCUGAUGUUUUAAGGUAGCGAGUGGGAGAAAGCAAACAUUGCAAUUAUAAAUACGAUGAUUAAGAGAAGAAAAUGGAACAUGUUUAUUCAUACAAGUUUUUCGUUUGCAGUUCUCAAAACCAGCUCGUACAUAUUAAACGUCAAAAUGAUAGGUUUGUCUCGAAUGCGGGCUCAAGAGAUGAUUACCUUGCGAGUGAACAAAAACCAAAUGAAAACGACAAAAAAGAAGUUAAGGACAAGAAGAGACCUAUCUCGCCUUUCCAUCGGUCUCCCUCGAAUCCCUUUUUCACCCGUCAUUUAUUUUUGUUUGAUCUUUUAAGCAAAGAAAAAAAAUGUUAUUCAAACACUAAAUUUAAAAAAAUUUACCCCUCAACUCAUGAAAAACGAAUAGAUUAGUCCCUCCAUCGUUUCCACCUUUAAUUAAGGUGGGCUUGUCAUAGAAUUUGGUGUCAGCCAUACACACAAAAACAAAAACAAAAAUUCACGGGACGACAGUAGCUCCGUUUUCUGAACAACCCAAAAAAUUACUCAAACUUUUACUUAAUGGACAAAAACAGUAGCGCCAAAAACUUUCAUCCGUCCGAGCGAAACGACAUUGUUUGUUAGUAUUUUGAAUUAAGGACUAGUCUUCCCCUAAAUUGAAAAAGUCAGAUUUCUCAAACCGAGUUUUUUUUUUGGCCCAAAUUGAAAAAUAGCAUUGCAGAUGUAUGAUGUUGAGCGUCUUCUUCAAUUUGCAUCGAUAGAAAAUUGAUGGGUGUUGUUAUCUCCCAAGUAAAAAUUUGUGAUCUCUUUGGCAUGUUUAAGAAUUCUCCCCUCUCAUAUUGAAAGAAGCUGGGUCUGAGCGUCAAAUGAACGGGACGUUGCGUUGCACCGGGAGGUAUUUGCCGUUGUCUUAUUGAAGUUCUUUUCCUUAGGAGUGACUUGUCCAAGAUAUAGUUCUGAAAAAAAAAAAUGGGUCAACCAGAUGUCUUAUUGAAUGCCAUGCCAUUACUUCUAAAAAAAAUGUUUACUUGAGUGUCAUGACUUUUAAAAACCGUUCAGGUAAGUGCCAUAACUUUCUAUCAAUCACUUGAGCACCAUAAUUUUUUAGAAGCAUUCACCACUAGUGUAAUGCCAUGUUGGAUUUGUGAUACUUGGGGUAAACAUUUUCUAAAAAGUCGUGGCACUCAAAUGAAAUUUUUUUAGAAGUCGUGAUACUCAAGUGAUAAAAAAAGAAAAAUUUAUAACACUUAAGUAAACAUGGUACAAAAUUAUAGAACUUAUGGUCUCGUUCUCCCCGAAAGAAAGUAAGCGUUAUUCUUUUUCAUGGGAAACUGCUAUGCCAGACCUUUUCCUCUAGGUUUUACUAUUUUGUAUUGCUUAAAAAAGUUAAUUAAUGAAAAUUAUUUGUCUGAUCAAUACAAACAUAUCGUCAAAUCUUUGUAAAAUUGAUUUAUAAUUUUAGAAAAUGAGAGACAAUGUCAAGAUGGUCCCUACACUUUGGGACAGAUUCAACAGCAGGUCAGCCAAACCAGCUACAGGCUGUGGAUAAUUGUAUCUUGGUUAGAUGUCGGUGCUCUUACCGCAUCCGACCGACAACGAAACAAGUGUCUGUGGUUCCAAGUUGCUGACCGGCGUUUCGUUUUCAUCCAAUGAAACAUACCUUCAGACCGGUCCUUCUAGUCAAAUGUACACCGCGAGCUUGCAGAGUUGGCCGUUUGAUUGGUAGAAAGAUACCCAUACAUCUGGAUGUGCAUGCAACGAGAUGAUAUAUUAUAUUCUCUAUGCACGUCAUAACUUCUCUGACUGUGAUCUCCAUAUGAGGUAGUGAUCAAUCGCAGUCCCCAAUGGAAAUAAUUUGCGUGUGAAUGGAAGUACUUUAGCAGCAGAAAGAAAUGAAGUACCCAAUACUUGUAAUAUUAACCGACUCUGCAUUUUUGUUGGCAAGGCCUACCUAACUUUGUACACGUGACAUCCAGAUUUUUCGCUUGACAAUAUAACGAGCCCCAAAUGCUUAAUGGCCCACGCCACAUUGACGAGUUUGUCGUUGGACUGCGCCAUUCACAUAUCACCGCGUCGUCACUGAGCCAUACCAUUUCCACCUCACUCAAUGAUGCAGCCACACCACCGAGCCACUACCCCUACCUCGUUGCCAACAACUCCGACUUCCGCUUUCAUCGCGUGACGUCAUGCCGCUCUCCAGUUGACAUCGCCUUCUGCAGCUACGAGGAUCGCUUGACGAACAACCCAGACAGCCAACUCCUUCUCUGUGUCGCACGUCCAUCGAGUCAACAGUGAGCGGUGUCUAUCCCAGCUCAUGUGAGAUGCGCUGGACAGAGCAGCCACCGUGUCUUCUCCUCCCCCCACCGCUUCCCAAGCCGCAACAAGUCAGUAACAGCAAGCGGCGCGAAGAAGUAACGCAGAAAGAAGAGAAAAAGCAAGGCAGCAAUUCCUCUCAUUUCAGCUUCGCCCAUUGCACGGUCCUCCUCCUCCUCAGCUCACGGUCACGCCCUCUUCCUCAAGUUCCUGUUCUGCGCACCGCCUCAACUCACAACCACCAGCAGCUUCCCUCUCCAUUGCAGCUGUGCGGGUCGCCACCGUCAGUCAUGCCGUCACCCCGCCGAGCCGCAACUGCGAUAUCUUAGGAGCCGAGGCAAGUGGAUACGUUAAAUAUGGGUUUUGACCAAGUCAAAAAUAAGAGAAAAAAAGAAGGAGAAAGAGUUGAGCGGUCAAAGGAAGAAGAAAAGAAGAGAAAGGAGGAGGAGAGACCGAGAGCCUUUAGGAGAGAGGAAGAAAAAGAAGAAGAGAGAGAGAGAGAGAGAAAGAAAAUAAAAGAAAAUAAAGGUUGAAAAGUCAAAGAAGAGAGAAGAAAAAGGAGGAGCACGGGGAAGAAAGGAAGAAAGGAGAAGGAGAAAGAAAGAAGACGAAGCAAAAGAUAAACAGGGUUUUGUGCGUUCUCAUUAAGGAAGUCUCGCCAAUCACUUUAACUACGUAAUGCAAUGCUCAGUAAGCACUUGUGCCAUGUUCGUCCAAUUGAAUUAGUUUUGGACUUAAACCUUGAAAUUCGGAAUUAUUGGAGAUUUGUGUGGCGAAAUACGAUUUUGAGUCGUUGAGUUGCGUAUUUAUAUAGAAAUGAUAGUUUAGGUGAGUAAAAAAUAGUGCAAGUGCCAAAAUUUAACACGGAGGACACUUAAAUAUAAAAAGUUAUGAAAAGUAUACUUAAGUGCCAAUUUUUUUUAAAUAAAAAAAUUGCAAUACUUAAAUGCCAAGUCCAGCGACCUUGGUCAGAAAUUCCACAUGAUAAUUUUUUAUUUAUAUAAUUUGCAUACAUAACUCACCGGAGAGUUGAGUCAGCAAAGAGGAUUCAAAACGACGUCAUUUUGCAUUGGUGUGAAAUUUAAUAUAUAUAUUAAUUAAAUUAAAUUUAAAACUAAAUUAUUAUUAUUAUUAUUAAAUGGAGGAUGGCAGAAUGGCUAGGCUUGUGUAAGCCCUCGCCACCACCUCGCCAUCAUCGUCGGCCACAGUGGAGGGAGGGUUGACCAACAUUGCCGGGCUUUGGCAGACUAGCGGUGAGGGCCUGCAAGCCCCUGCCCAUAUCUAAGGCAAGGGUCACGGCCCUCCCCCAGAUUCGAUGAGGGUCACCAGCCCCUACCCGGUUGAGCCAAGGGCAUCGCUGGCUGGGCGAGAUAUGAAUAAAUAUGUUUGUCGUAUAAAAUUUAGAUCAGACAUUGGCUAUGUUUUGGUAUUUGUGAAUGGUGCAAGAACUGAUUUGUGGAAAAAUAUGUUCAGUUUGAGGAACGAAGUUAAGAGAUAUCGAUUUGUGAAAUGCUUUAUGAUAUGUAUUUGAUUUGAUUUGGUUUGUAAAACCAAUUUAUAAGACAAGUCUUGAAAUGAUUUAAGAAAUUUUUUACGAAAUGUAUUAACAAAUGAGUUGAGUUGAGUUGAGCUGCGAAAGUUUUUUGUGAUAUAUGAAAUGAAUUUUGCAUUUGGCUUUGUGGAUUCUGGAGGAUGUUAUGAUUUAGUAAUUAUGCUCAAGAUCAUUGUGAGUCUAGCGUGGGGCUUGUGGGUAUGCCCAUACCAGUUUAGGAUAUCUUUUUGGGCUAAGCCACCGGCUAAUAAUAAGGAGAGACUUUGCUAAGGGGGGAAUCGUAGUCGCAUUGUCACUAGGCAGUAUGUCGUGACCAUGAUUUGAUAUUGAGCAAUAAAUUGGUCAAUGCAGUUGACCAUUGACAUGUAAUAUGAGUUUGGUCCAUAGAGUAAACUAUUGACAUAUGAUUUGCAUUUAGUUAAUGGAAUGAACGAUCGAUGUAUGAUUUGAGAUUAGUCAUUGGAAUGGGCCAUCAACGUGUAAUUUCAUUAGACCAUUGAUGUAUGACAUGAGAUUAAUCAAUGUAAUAGACCAUUGGCAUGUGAAUUAAUAAUAUUGAUCAAUGGAUUAGACCAUUGAUGUUUGUUUUGAUAUUAUUUAAAAUGAUUAUUUUUGCUAUAAAUAGCAAUGUUGAAGCAUAUGUAACUUAUUUUCUUAUUGUAUAUUUAUUAUAUUAUAGAUUUGGGUUAAAAGAAUUGUGGUUUGGUUUUGUAAAUAUGCAUAGUGGGUGCUCGAUCCACUUACUAAACAUGCACUACCCAUUGGACUGUAGUUGCUCAUCCAUCUAUUUUCUAAUCUUUUUUAGGUUCUUUAGCGAGCAAUAAGUAGUACAAUAGUGAUGUUGACGAGGGAAUUUUGAGAAUUGGAUUUUUGGUGGUUUGUCAUCCCCAUUCUUGAUGAUUUUGGGGGUGUGACAUGAUAUCCCCUGUUCUAUCCUCAAUCGUGUCGUGUGCUGAGGAGCUUUUACUUAGAAAUCCUUUGAAUUUAGUGAUUUAAGAGAUGUUAGCACCUAGUUGUGGGUUUCAGACAAAGUUAUAUAGUUAGAAAGUUUAAAACUUUACUCAAUGGGUUUGUAUAUGUGUUAUGGGAAGGUUGUUAAAUUUGCGUACAUACCUGGACUAAAGGUACCGAAGUUAAGCCGAAAUGGGAAAAGGUUAUCGAGGUUAGGUUCGGUUUGGUUUGACCUUCAAUUUUGUUAAUUUCUUACUGACUUGUGUCAUGCAAAUUUCAUUGGACAUUCUUCACGAAAGUCAUCUCUUAUUGGCUGUUCUAUGACGUACUAUAAAUUUCAGAUUUUUCAAACUUUGUACUACAAAUAUAAUAUUUGAAAAACUAUUGAGUUUGAAAUCUAUUUUUAGGGUUAUUGAAUUGACCUAGUUUUACUUUCCAUUUUCCACAGAAUUUUCGGUCAAGAAUUCUAACUCACGUCCCCAUGAAAGUUGUAGAGUACAUCCUAUACCAUGACAUAUAAAAUUUCCAUGAUUUUUCAAUCUCAUUUAAUCUAUGAAAUAUUUAUCUUUCUGCUCCAUCACGUUCUGGGAAUUACCUAUUGUUUUGGUCUGGUUUACUAAAAAUUAUUUAGAACAUUUUCUCUAAAUCUUGUCUAUCUUAUGUUAAAGUUUCGUAAUUUUUGAAAUUCUUUUACCUAGACAAUUACUAUAGUUUCUAGAGGCACAUAGGAUGGCCUUAUAAAGUUAGUUUAAGAACUUGGAUAGGGAAUUCUUCUCAUAGUUCAUCUAAUGUAGGCACGAGUGAAUAUAUAUUAAUCUAGGGGAUAAAAAUGACUGAGGAUUUAUUAGAUUUAUGCUUGAGUUCCUUGGUAAUAGUUAUGUCAAUAUUCUUUUUAAAUUGAAUUAUGGAAUUGUUGCAUCAUGGCAUGAAUGUGUGAUGGUAAUACCGUCGGUCCUUAGAAUGACAAUGCCUUGAGUUGUAAUAGGAAUGCCUGGAAGGGUAACUGGAUUCCUUUAGAUGCCUAAGGGGUGUAACUUGAUUCCCCCGUAUGUCUUGGCGAUGCCAGAUGGGUGCGAAAUGCCCGUGGGGCAAUGAGGUUCCCUAGAAGAUGAUGGCAACAUGGAUUAAUAUUGACUAUUGCCUUAGUAUUUUUGAGUUGAGUGACUAAUUACUUGUUGGGAAAAGCUAUUGCUUUUAUUGAUAUAUUAUGUUAUUUUGAAGAGGUUUCCAAGUAAGUUGAUUAUUUACUAUACUUUAUAUUGAUGUUUUCCUUGUCAGUAUGGUGAUUGAUUUAUAUAGAAUGGACUAAUGGAUCUUCUACUUGCUGGAUUCAGGCUCACUGGUUAUUGAUCUUACCUUUUCAAAUCAAUAGAAAUUAUACCGAUCCUCCUUACUUCUACUUCCAUUGGUUAUGGGGGUACCUGUAGACCUCACUUGGCACUUUUUCGACUUUGGAAAUCCGGAUUUUUUGGAUUAUUACCUUCAUCCGAUGCAUCGCCAUUAUGUCCAUAGACAUAGGGGUCUUGGCAAGCCCUAUACUUAUGGGCUUCCUCGCGAUCUUCGCACGANNNNNNNNNNNNNNNNNNNNNNNNNNNNNNNNNNNNNNNNNNNNNNNNNNNNNNNNNNNNNNNNNNNNNNNNNNNNNNNNNNNNNNNNNNNNNNNNNNNNUGAUGGGAACGACAAUUGUAGCAGUACAAUCACGAAGCACGGGUAGGGAGGUGAAGCAAUAUUUUGGAUCCAUGCAACGGUUUUGGGCAUACUAGGAUUGGAGGAUAGGUGACUAGACAUGUACAGGAUAUCUCUGGGUUGGGAUGGUACCAUGGGCGAUGUUUGAUGUAGUUCUUGAUGAGCAUUUUUUAAAUCCCUAGUAUACCGACCAUGUCACCUAACGUAAAUACAUAAAGAAAUGAAGUACAUUAGCCUGGUUUAUAAUUCCACGUACGCUCUUUGAAUUUUUUAUGUUCUGGAUUAUUACUAUUGACCUAAAACACUUCUGCAUGCUUAAAAAUGGUGAAAGAAGCUGGAUAACUAUGAUAGCCAUGAUGUGCUGGGGACGUUGCAGUAUGGACCCCAAGAAACAUGAUAAAAGCUUUAAGUAAUAUCCAUGUUAGAAAGAUAGGAGCCUCUUUUCACCAAAUCCAUUAGCCUGGUUUAUAAUACCAUGUGCGUUCUUUGAAUUUUUUAUGUUCUGGAUUAUUACUAUUGACCUAAAACACUUUCACAUGCUUAAAAAAGGUGAAAGUAGUUGGAUAACUAUGUUAGCACGUCACAAUAUGGACCCCAAGAAACAUGACAAAAACUUUAAGUAAUAUCCAUGUUAGAACGAUAGGCACCUUUUUUCACCAACUUUUUUAGCCUGGUUUAUAAUGCCGCAUGCAUUUACUAUUGAUCUAAAACACUUCCGUAUGCUUAAAAAAUAUGAAAGAAGUUGGAUAACUGUGUUAUCCGUGACAUGCUGUGGGGACGUCAUGGUAUGAACCCCGAGAAACAUGACAAAAACCUCAAAUAAUAUCCAUGUUAGAAAGAUAGGCACCUCUUUUCACGAAAUCCCAACAUCUCUCUCUCUCUCCUUCCAAAGCUUUGACGACGACACCACCACCUCAACCACCGACAGUGAUGAGGACAACCACUGCCUUACCACAUCGUAAGCGAUGAGCUAAAAAUACAACAAAUUGGGCCUCGCCCGUAUAAUGUGAUGAGGCAGAGGCUGUCCUCAACAGGAUGCCAGUCAAAACACAUACCGAUAUUACUAAUGGGAAUGAAGAGGCGAAUAACCAGUUUUCCUUAUGGCAUCAGACAAAAAAUUUGUGCUUAGCUAAUAUCAAAUCUUACGAACUUACGUAGUGAUUAGUACAUACAGAAAUAAAAUUACGCAGCAUGAGCUACUUGCUUUGCUGUCCAUCUCCACCAUCAGGAUAAUGAGUGGAUUCUCAAUGAAGCAAAUCCAAACCACGUGAUUCACGAUUCAUUUUAUUAUCAAUUCAAUGGAGCGGGGCCAUCUUAAUUGAUACAAUCAAUAAUGCAAAGAUGUCUCUGAGGAAUUAAUAACAUCUUGGGGCUAAGGAUGAGGUCCUUUCUUUUUUCUAUAUAAAGAGGGCACAAACUAGCUAUUGCCAUCCACCAGGUACACUCCAAGUUUGAAAAGUUACAUAUCGUCGUUUUAUUUUGUUGGUUACUUAUUCUCUCAGAAGAGAAGACAAUGGCAGUGAGGGGCAAGCUGGAGGUGGAGGUGGAUCUCAAAUCAUCGGCCGAUCAGUUCUACGGCUUUUUCAGGAGCACCCCGCACCACCUUCCUAAUGCUUGCACUGAUGUGCACGCUGGGGAGAUUCUUGAAGGCGAAUGGCACUCUGAGGGCUCCAUUAGGAAGUGGACUUUCUCAGUGGGUAAGCACCCUGUUUCGUGUUGGAGAGAUUCCGUUUUAUUUUGGCCCAGAUUAAUCACGCACAUUUGACAAGCACAUGCUUCGUUUCAUUCUCACUACAGUCAUUCCAUUCCACCUCAUCGAAACGCAUGAUUAUGGAUCUGAUUCUGUUCUGCGCUGUGUAUGGAGCUACCACUUGCUAUUAUCUACAUUUCAUAUACUUAGUCCGCCACCAACUAAAGUGAUCGUGGAACAUGAGAGGAGACGCAGGAAGCUAUUCCAAUUCUCUUUGAUUGGUCCUAUGAUUAAUGCAUUUCGAUGUGAAGAGUUGGAUGUAUAUAACCUCAGGAACACAUAUAUGAAAGGAAAAGAUGAAGAAUCAUUCUUUACUCGCUCGUUCGUUCCAAUUUUCAUGUGGGGUUGUGGAACAUGCGCAGAAGGGAAAAAAGAGACAUUCAAGGAGAAGAUACAAUUCGACGACCAGAACAAAAUCGUAGCCCACGUCGGCAUCGAAGGCGAGCUGUUCAACUUUUACAAGAGCUACAAGGCCAUCUUGCAGGCCGUCCAUAAGGAUGGAGGACCCGACGUCGUCAAGGUGAUCAUCGAGUACGAGAAGCUGAACGAGAGCAUGCCCCACCCGGUCAACUAUCUCGAUGUCACGGUUAACAUGACUAAAGACAUUGAUGCUCACCUCGUCAAGGCUUAAGCCCUGCGAAAGAAGAGGAGAAGGAACUAUGACGUCUGCUUGUGUUUCGAUUAUCCAAAUAAAUAAGCUUAAGUAAAUAGGGAGU